GGACCGUACGAUUCCGAUUUUCAAGGCGACGACCGCCUGCACGAUGCCGGAUAAAUAUCAUACAACCGAAUAAAUAUAAAGAUCUAAUUCUAGGUUUUGAUGGCUCGUAUGGUGGAGGUUUUGGAUUUCCUGCGGUCCUUGCUGUCCCCGGUAUUGCCCGGAACCGGACGACGUCGAGGAGGCCGAGGAAUUGCAAUUGUUGUUCAACAACAUGGGACUGCCGGCACUCUGGAUGGCGAAGGGCCACGACUGCAAGAAAGGGUGCUUGAAAUUUGCACAAUUUUGCCGGCUACUCGAGAGGAGGAAUUUCGGUUCUUCAAACAACGGAACCAAGUUAGAUUUAAUGGGGAGGAGGGUUGCAAGUGAUUCGGUCCACCUGGUCGGACGUAAACAUAGAAAAUGCCGCCGGCGAUGGCGUUCCGCGGCUCGACAGCUCGAUUGGACCCACCUGGGCUUCUUCCGAUCCGCAAAACCAAGUUUCGUCUCUAACGGAUAGGAAGGAAGACCGAGGAGCCAACGAUAUUUGUUUCCCUACCCAAAACCGUUCCGGCCAACUUACGAGCGCCAAGGACAAGGAUCUGGUGGUCUCUCGAUGGGCAUCCCCGUCGUCCCUGAGGACGGCCCUCAGGUG